UCCCCCUGAAAUAAGAAACAAAAUAUCAAUUCAGGAAGAUGUCUAUGAAGGCAUACAUAAUUUAUUUGUCAAAUAGAUAAAGCCACAUGUCAAUCAAAAUCAUUAUGUUCGUUCAUUCCUAUUGUUUUUUUUUACAAAAAAUAUCAUCAGGAUAUGGGUCAGUGAAAAUAAACCAGGAAGAAGGCAAAUAUGGAAAACUAUAAACCAAUGGAACGAUCCCUUUCGAAACAAAAUUUUUUCAGAGUAAAUAAAGAGCAAUAAAGGAGAAACAAAGUUAUAAAAUAUUGCCGCAUGGCGUUUUCAUAUCGAAAGAUGAAUUUGGAAUUUUUGAUUUCGGAGGUUCCUGAGUCGAGAAAUCAUGUCAACCAGGAAAAAAAACAGGCUUUGUUGAGGCAAUCAUAUCUGGGUCAUAUUGGAUUAUAAAAAUUAAAAAAAAAAUGUUUGUGUAUACUUUAAUGUGUAUUUUUGCAUUUGUGAAAAAAUUAUAGUAUGAUAAUAAAAUUUUGUGUAUAAAAAAAUUAUUGAAAAUAUGUGCAAAAUACUAGAGAUUGCCCCCUUAAACAUUCCAACUAAAAAUCAUCCCGAAACUGAUCAAGCUAAUAAAAUCCAGGGCGGUAAGUACUGAGUACCAGGAACAAAUCCGAAUCGAGAUAACUCCUAGCUUAAAG